rnacentral:sRNA from 1 species
AAAGCCACCCUACAGGGGGGAUGAGAACCCCCGACCGGGGUUCGACAACUGGCGCAGCCAGUUGGACAGACGACGAGCCUGCGAGGAGACUGCCCGAAGGGCGAGCGCAGCGAGUCAAUCCCCCCUCACCGCCA